CUCCCUAUGGCUUUCCACAAACGAAGCUCUCGACUGAAUGUCAGGUGCUGGACGACUUAAUUCCCCACUUUUAGCCGAGUCGGAAUAAGAGAUAACAUCCACACUGCUGAGGUAAUAAGACCAAAAAAAAAACACUCUACAGUACGUCGUCAAGAAACCUGGGAAGUGCCGAAGAAAAAGAAAAGAAGUGCACUAGAGACUUCUCCUGACAGAACGCUUCACCAGGACCUGGAGGAUUUUUCUGAAGAACAGCAGGCGCUUUAACCGCUCGGGACAAACAAGGGACUCGUCGAUCAUCCAGAGAGAGAGAGGAAAGAAAGAGACUAACCACUCGAGGAACAACUCAUUACGUCGGCGGUGAGCAGAAAAGCAUCCCAACAGCAUGUAGAACCUUGAGGCCAGUGUGCUACAACAGCGCAAGACCACAUCUGGGGCUGCAGUGGGCGCAGGAUCAACAAAACCGGACAGUUGAAGAUUAGGAAAAGUCCAGACUCCUGUGUUGCGUAAACAUGACUGAAGGGAACGGCGACCAUUCCCGAGAUGAUUUCACUCCUCAGCCUCGCCGUCCUGCUGUAUCCUGGGGAGUGAAGAUCAGGAAGAAGCUGAAGCCCAUGGCUCCGUUUCUUGGCACAUUCAGGCCUCUGGUGGGACAGAGCUGCCAUCAGUGCACCCCGGAGAGUGUGGGUCGUCAGCUGCUGAAGAACGCUCCGUUACUCGGCUUCCGGAACCUUCUGUCAGUGAAGGAAACGCACACCAGGUACCGAGGAUGGCUGGUAAGAAGAGUGUGCUGUGUGCUGUUCAUCUGCGGCCGGAAGGUCGACUCGGGUCCUGCUGGAGACAGACUGCUUCGGAUCUGCAGCACAGACAGGGUGAAGCGGGUCCUGACUCCACAGACCGUUGCGGAAGAGUGUGGAGAAGACACCCGAGGCAUUCUGGCUCUGGCUGAGGCAUCUCAAUCUCCGUCCUUGAUCCGGUUGGUUGGCUGGUUGCUCUUGCGGAUCUUCUCUCUGAUGUUCUGCAGCGUGCAGGUGAACCUCAGACAGAUGGUCGCUCUCCACCGAGCCACACAGCAGAACAUCCCGCUAGUGUAUGUGUACAUUCGCCAGGGUGCUGUUGAUCAGGCUUUGAUCUCUCUGACUCUUCUCUGUCAAAACCUGAAAGUCCCUUACAGUGUCUAUCCGGCUCGAGUUCACAACAGAUUGAUGAGGGUCAUCCUGCAGCAACUCGGCGUCAUUUUUCUCCCUGAUCACGCAGCCACGGAGCAGGAGGCAGAAACCCACAGCGUGUACUCUCCCGUCAUGACCUCGCUGGUUGGCGAGCUGCUGAUGUCAGGGGAGAGUCUCAGCGUGGGUGUGUGUGAGGAGAGUGGUUAUGGAGGGCAGUGGCUGGCACGGAUUCGUCAGGCUGUGGCUGAGGGCCUGGUGCCAGACGUGAACGUGGUGCCAGUCGGAAUCUCCUACGACUGUCGUCCUUCAUGCCAGUCCACACGCCCUGGGCCUGGCGUGCUGUCUGUACUGCGGUUUGUGCUUUCCCUUCUGAGUGCUGAUGAAAGAGGAGGUGUGAGGAUCCAUUUCGCUCAGGCUUUCUCUCUGAAGGAGAUGUGUGACAGUGGGAAAUGGCGUGUGGACGGACGAUGCCCCCUACAGGACCUCCUGCUGCCAACUGUCCUUCACAACAGGAAGCACACCACAUUUGGGCAAAGAGAUGUUUCCUGGCUCCUUCCACCGUCUUUUCUGCCUGAACUGUCCCACAGUGAGAGGCAGCUGAGCGCCGCUUUGACACUGCACCUGAUGCAUUCGGUGACCAGCAGCAUGGCCGUGAUGUCUACCAGUGUCAUGUCCUGUUUGCUCCUCCAUAAACACCGCAGGGGGGUGCGUAUGUCUGUGUUGUGUAGAGAUUUUUGUUGGCUGUUGGAGGAGCUGUUGAUCAGGCGCUAUGACGCUGGUUUUGGAGGCACUCUGCUCAGUGUGGUGUACCACGCUCUCUCUGUGCUGCGUCCCCACCUGCUGAUUGCUACAGUGCCCGCUUUAGGAGAGCUGGUGGUGAUAGCUCGGCCCGACCCACACACACUGCUCACACUUGGCCGGUACGGCCAGCUCCUCACACACGUCUUCAUCGCAGAGGCUGUGGGAGCCUGUGCUGUCUCUGCCUUGCUGUGUGAGGUGGCAGGAUGUGGAGGAAGAGAGAUGGAGUUUGAUGUUGCACUUGGUCAAGAGGAGCUGACUGAAAAAAGCCUACAGCUUACACACCUACUGCCAGCUGGGUAUAUACCGCCAUGCCAAACAGCGAACAGUUUUGCUCUGGAUGCAGUGGACAGCAUGGUGCGCUGUGGGAUUCUCGUCAUGGAGGAGGUGCAGCGGGAUACUCCCCUGUGUGAUUUCUGGAAAAAGCAGGGUGUUUUCUCAUUUACUUCUUCAGACGACCCUGAACACUGCAGUGACUCAGAGUGUGAGGAACAGGACACACGCUCAUACAAGCUGGGUCAGCCGUCUCAGUGUCCCGAGCUGUUGUUCUUUCUCUGUAGUUUACUGAGUGUCCAGCUGAGGGCGCUCUGCUGGGCUAUAGAGAGCAUGGACCUGCUGCCCUUUCCCCUCACAGAGACGGCGUGUGUGACUCAACUCCACGCUCACCUGAGAAACAAAGCUCAGCUGGACAGAGUGCACCACGAGAGCUCCUCGAUAAAGCUGGUGAGAGCGGCCCUGCGAACCCUGACUGAUUGUGGCGUGCUGAUGGAGGACCGGCAGAGCGAGGCGGUGUACCUAGAGAUCAGUCCUCUUUUCCUCCAGGCCGAGAACAAACGCAAGCUCUUCCAGUUCGUCUCGCGGUUCCUCAAAGGCUGACGCAGGAGAAGCGCAGCUCUCUGCACCGCUCCAGGUCCCACCGACCAGCCACCGCGUGCCAGCUCCCAGCCAGGGAGGGUGAAGGAGAACGCGCGCUUCCUCCGAGACACGUGAAGCCGGCCGGGCGCAUCUUUCCGAACUGCAAAUCUGCAAAUGUAUGCCAUAGAGUGUCUAAAGGAAGGCAUAUUUUCAUUUUCUUCUGCUGUCUGGUCGUUUGGAGUGACGCUCUAUGAGAUCCUGACACGCUGUGACCAUCGUCAAAGUCCACCUGUGGUCAGAAACCAUUCCCCACCUCGGUCUCUUCAUGUUUUUUAAUAAUAAGUGUACACAAUGUAUAUUUUUUAUAAUUGUGGAGAGCAUUUGUUGUAGAUUAUGCUUGUGUAUAAUAUCUACUGAAUAGUGUAAUAUUGGUUCACAAUUUGAUGUACUUGCCCUAGAAAUAUAUCGAGGUGACGGGGAGGAACGUACCAGGUCACUUAAUUAUAAAAAAAUUGAUCACCCUGGUAGAGGAAAACGGGCCGUGGCCAUGCCCUCAAGGACUGUCAAGAGGAGGUAGUGUGAAACAUUCAAAUCACCGAAGCCUACUCUACUUAUCUCAAACACUGUGCUAAUUCAAUGUCUUGUGCUAAAUGUAGAUGUACGUGCUGAUGGAGCAGCGUCCAACAUUUGAGUCCCUGGCCAGGGCUUGGGAGGAAAUUCGGCGGAAAUAUUUUAGUCCUAAUUAGUUUCUUGAUCAAAGUAUGGGCUUAAUCGGGUUUUUUGUCCAUGUAAACGCAGCUAAUGUUAAGUUGAAUUGACCCAGAAUGUAUUGAGACUGUUCGUUCUAGUUAAGAUAAUAACUAGUUAACAAUUCUGUCUACAGUAUACUGUACUGAGGUUCCAGUAGAAACAUUUCUUUCUUAUUUUUUUUCCAUAUAACGGCAUGCCUGGAAGUGCUGCGUUCUUUACUUAACUGUAGGUUAUUUUCAAAAGCAUGGGAAUAUUUUGUAUUUUCAUUUUGUUGCAUUACAUCAUUGUAUGAUAGAACAAUUUAAACAGUAAAUAUAUUAAGUGUGCUAAAUAUA